GAAUCUUGGGCAAUGGGCGAAAGCCUGACCCAGCGACGCCGCGUGAGGGAUGAAGGCCUUCGGGUCGUAAACCUCUUUUGUGAGGGAAGAAGUUCUGACGGUACCUCACGAAUAAGCCACGGCUAACUACGUGCCAGCAGCCGCGGUAAUACGUAGGUGGCAAGCGUUGUCCGGAUUUACUGGGCGUAAAGGGCUUGUAGGCGGUUCGUUAAGUCCGGUGUGAAAUCUCCCGGCCCAACUGGGAGGGGUCAUCGGAUACUGGCGGACUUGAGGUGGGCAGAGGAAAGCAGAAUUCCCGGUGUAGCGGUGAAAUGCGUAGAUAUCGGGAGGAAUACCAGUGGCGAAGGCGGCUUUCUGGGCCUAUCCUGACGCUGAGGAGCGAAAGCGUGGGGAGCAAACCGG
rnacentral:rRNA from 1 species